rnacentral:tRNA from 1 species
CGGGGUGUAGCGCAGUUGGUAGCGCGCCUGGUUUGGGACCAGGAUGCCGCAGGUUCGAAUCCUGUCACUCCGACCA